GAGGUUAAGCGACUAAGCGUACACGGUGGAUGCCCUGGCAGUCAGAGGCGAUGAAGGACGUGCUAAUCUGCGAUAAGCGCCGGUAAGGUGAUAUGAACCGUUAUAACCGGCGAUUUCCGAAUGGGGAAACCCAGUGUGACUCGUCACACUAUCAUUAACUGAAUCCAUAGGUUAAUGAGGCGAACCGGGGGAACUGAAACAUCUAAGUACCCCGAGGAAAAGAAAUCAACCGAGAUUCCCCCAGUAGCGGCGAGCGAACGGGGAGGAGCCCAGAGCCUGAAUCAGCAUGUGUGUUAGUGGAAGCGUCUGGAAAGGCGCGCGAUACAGGGUGACAGCCCCGUACACAAAAGCGCAUGUGCUGUGAGCUCGAUGAGUAGGGCGGGACACGUGGUAUCCUGUCUGAAUAUGGGGGGACCAUCCUCCAAGGCUAAAUACUCCUGACUGACCGAUAGUGAACCAGUACCGUGAGGGAAAGGCGAAAAGAACCCCGGCGAGGGGAGUGAAAAAGAACCUGAAACCGUGUACGUACAAGCAGUGGGAGCACAGGUUUACCUGUGUGACUGCGUACCUUUUGUAUAAUGGGUCAGCGACUUAUAUUCUGUAGCAAGGUUAACCGUAUAGGGGAGCCGGAGGGAAACCGAGUCUUAAUUGGGCGUUAAGUUGCAGGGUAUAGACCCGAAACCCGGUGAUCUAGCCAUGGGCAGGUUGAAGGUUGGGUAACACUAACUGGAGGACCGAACCGACUAAUGUUGAAAAAUUAGCGGAUGACCUGUGGCUGGGGGUGAAAGGCCAAUCAAACCGGGAGAUAGCUGGUUCUCCCCGAAAGCUAUUUAGGUAGCGCCUCGUGAAUUCAUCUCCGGGGGUAGAGCACUGUUUCGGCUAGGGGGCCAUCCCGGCUUACCAACCCGAUGCAAACUGCGAAUACCGGAGAAUGUUAUCACGGGAGACACACGGCGGGUGCUAACGUCCGUCGUGAAGAGGGAAACAACCCAGACCGCCAGCUAAGGUCCCAAAGUCAUGGUUAAGUGGGAAACGAUGUGGGAAGGCCCAGACAGCCAGGAUGUUGGCUUAGAAGCAGCCAUCAUUUAAAGAAAGCGUAAUAGCUCACUGGUCGAGUCGGCCUGCGCGGAAGAUGUAACGGGGCUAAACCAUGCACCGAAGCUGCGGCAGCGACGCUUAUGCGUUGUUGGGUAGGGGAGCGUUCUGUAAGCCUGUGAAGGUGGCCUGUGAGGGUUGCUGGAGGUAUCAGAAGUGCGAAUGCUGACAUAAGUAACGAUAAAGCGGGUGAAAAGCCCGCUCGCCGGAAGACCAAGGGUUCCUGUCCAACGUUAAUCGGGGCAGGGUGAGUCGACCCCUAAGGCGAGGCCGAAAGGCGUAGUCGAUGGGAAACGGGUUAAUAUUCCCGUACUUGGUGUUACUGCGAAGGGGGGACGGAGAAGGCUAUGUUGGCCGGGCGACGGUUGUCCCGGUUUAAGCGUGUAGGUGUGUGUUCCAGGUAAAUCCGGUUCACUUUAACACUGAGGCGUGACGACGAGGCACUACGGUGCUGAAGCAACAAAUGCCCUGCUUCCAGGAAAAGCCUCUAAGCAUCAGGUAACAUCAAAUCGUACCCCAAACCGACACAGGUGGUCAGGUAGAGAAUACCAAGGCGCUUGAGAGAACUCGGGUGAAGGAACUAGGCAAAAUGGUGCCGUAACUUCGGGAGAAGGCACGCUGAUAUGUAGGUGAAGUGAUUUACUCAUGGAGCUGAAAUCAGUCGAAGAUACCAGCUGGCUGCAACUGUUUAUUAAAAACACAGCACUGUGCAAACACGAAAGUGGACGUAUACGGUGUGACGCCUGCCCGGUGCCGGAAGGUUAAUUGAUGGGGUCAGCGCAAGCGAAGCUCCUGAUCGAAGCCCCGGUAAACGGCGGCCGUAACUAUAACGGUCCUAAGGUAGCGAAAUUCCUUGUCGGGUAAGUUCCGACCUGCACGAAUGGCGUAAUGAUGGCCAGGCUGUCUCCACCCGAGACUCAGUGAAAUUGAACUCGCUGUGAAGAUGCAGUGUACCCGCGGCAAGACGGAAAGACCCCGUGAACCUUUACUAUAGCUUGACACUGAACAUUGAGCCUUGAUGUGUAGGAUAGGUGGGAGGCUUUGAAGCGUGGACGCCAGUCUGCGUGGAGCCGACCUUGAAAUACCACCCUUUAAUGUUUGAUGUUCUAACGUGGACCCGUUACCCGGGUUGCGGACAGUGUCUGGUGGGUAGUUUGACUGGGGCGGUCUCCUCCUAAAGAGUAACGGAGGAGCACGAAGGUUGGCUAAUCCUGGUCGGACAUCAGGAGGUUAGUGCAAUGGCAUAAGCCAGCUUGACUGCGAGCGUGACGGCGCGAGCAGGUGCGAAAGCAGGUCAUAGUGAUCCGGUGGUUCUGAAUGGAAGGGCCAUCGCUCAACGGAUAAAAGGUACUCCGGGGAUAACAGGCUGAUACCGCCCAAGAGUUCAUAUCGACGGCGGUGUUUGGCACCUCGAUGUCGGCUCAUCACAUCCUGGGGCUGAAGUAGGUCCCAAGGGUAUGGCUGUUCGCCAUUUAAAGUGGUACGCGAGCUGGGUUUAGAACGUCGUGAGACAGUUCGGUCCCUAUCUGCCGUGGGCGCUGGAGAACUGAGGGGGGCUGCUCCUAGUACGAGAGGACCGGAGUGGACGCAUCACUGGUGUUCGGGUUGUCAUGCCAAUGGCACUGCCCGGUAGCUAAAUGCGGAAGAGAUAAGUGCUGAAAGCAUCUAAGCACGAAACUUGCCCCGAGAUGAGUUCUCCCUGAGACUUAGAGUCUCCUGAAGGAACGUUGAAGACGACGACGUUGAUAGGCCGGGUGUGUAAGCGCAGCGAUGCGUUGAGCUAACCGGUACUAAUGAACCGUGAGGCUUAACCUUAC
rnacentral:rRNA from 1 species